rnacentral:rRNA from 1 species
UAGGGAAUCUUCCACAAUGGACGCAAGUCUGAUGGAGCAACGCCGCGUGAGUGAAGAAGGGUUUCGGCUCGUAAAGCUCUGUUGUUAAAGAAGAACACGUAUGAGAGUAACUGUUCAUACGUUGACGGUAUUUAACCAGAAAGUCACGGCUAAAUACGUGCCAG